CUGUCCAUUUUCAGUUUUAGAAAGAUUCCCUCCCCUAAUUUUUAGCUGACAGGAUUCCUUUCUAUCCUCUCCCUUUUUCUACAAAUCACACACUUUAUAUAAGGUACUGGAUUUUAUAUUGUUCUGGGGAGAAAAAACACCCAUACACUCUCAUCCUCAUGGAUUUCUCUGAAGAAGAAAACAAUCUGAAAAUUCCAAUUUAGAGACAGAAAUACAAAAUAUAGAGAAAGUUCCAAUCUUUUCUUAUUCUGUCUUCCAGCUUCAUUUCUUUUGAGUUUUAUAAAUUUGAUUAACUGUUGAGACCUGGGUUUCACUGUUGAAAAUUACUACUGAGCUUCCAGUUUGAAUAAGAUUCUGUUCUUAUCUGGAUAUCUUGGUGCUUUCUUGCUUAACUAGCUUUAGCAAUAGCUCUAAACAUAAAGCUACUAUAGUUUGUCUACAUAUGUGAUGAGUAGGUAAAGCUAAAGAAUGGGAUUUUGAAGAUGUGUUUAAAAGUUUGUUGUUUCUAAUCUAAAGUGAAUGUUGAAACCAUCGAUGCACUAUUAGGGUGUAUUUGGAUCCAAGGAAGACUGUAAUUUAUUAUGACAAUUAUGUAUGUAAUAUAGGAUUACUGUGUCAAUGAUGUUAUUUGAAUCAUAUAUUGUGCCGCUAUUAUGUAAAGCAAGGCAGAUUUUAUUAUUUUUUGUGUCAAUUCCUUCCUACGGUUAAGUGUUGUAUCUGUUUCGACUCUUUACCAUCGCAAGGUUUAAAGAUUGGGUCUUUAA